UAUGUUUUGGGGUGUAGAGAGAUGGAUGUGAUGUGUGCAGGGUGCCUCAGUCCCUGGAUGGGUGUAGCAGUGUGUGGUGCUCUGUCUGGGCCUCGUGGUGUGGGAUUGCCAGCCUGCCGGUGUAGUGCAUGGAAAGGGACAUAAUUUAAGACAGUUUAUCAUAUUUAAUUAUUUUGUUUAUUAAUUAAUUUACUAUUAUCAUUAUUUUUAUUUUACGCUCAUCUUUUGUGUUCGGGAGUUCGUUGUUAGUGCUGCUAUUGACAAAAAAAAGGGAGAGAUCGUUUUAUUUCUUAGUGUGGAAAUUGUCGCGGUGUGUCAGGUGCUGAUUGCUGUUGAGAGUCGCAGGUCCCGCCCUCUGGCAUCAAACAGACAAUAAAGAACUAAUAUGUCGCUGUUGCAUUUAUUUCCUUUAACGUAAAUAUGUAAUGAUACGGUUUUAUCUAUGUCUCCUGAUGUUAUGGCACUUUUGGCUAAUUUUUAACUAAUUCUGUUCAUGUCAUUAUCUGAAUACCUAAUAACAAUCAGUAUCCUGCAUGUACUGUCAAAUCUAUCGAAACAUCAGCACGUCUACUGAGUUAUGGAUUUCAAGAGAUUCCGAAUUAUUGCUGUUUCCUUCUGAAUUUUAAUAGGUUCAGAAAAUCUACCAAAAUUGUGCUUCCCGGCAGUUGGAUAUCUAUUACGGUUGUAAGAGAGAGAGAGAGAUAUCAAAUUAAAUAUACAUAAAUUAUAAGGAAAAAAGGAAGAUAAUAGAGACGGAUAAAUAAAUAUAUAAAUACACAAUAAAAUGUAAUACAGAACAAAUUAUGAAGGAAAAGAAAAAAAAUAUAUAUAUAAUUGAAGUGCGCUGAUAAUAACAGCGUGGUGCAGAGGGUACGUUAAUCUGUGGUAGACCCAAGCUGUUUACAUAAUUUAAAGAGUCUACCUGAUUUCAUCCAUGACAAUUAAACAUUUGAUAAUAACGAGAGGCUUCAAGUCACACAAGCUUUUCAAUGACUUCACACAAGGUCAUACAAUAGAUGAAGAAUCGUAGUGUAAACACCGCCGGGACCACUUCAAAUUUGGCGCUUGAAUUGGAGAGAGAGAGAGAGAUGUGGACAUUUUGACAAUUACAAUUACAAUGGCUUAUAACUUAGUUUUACAUGUUCAUGCUUCAUUAUAUUUCACUUGUUUUAUUUUGUAUUAGAAUAGUGUAAUAUGAGAGAAGCUGGAGUAAUUGGAAAUAUAAUUUGUAGGUUUGUGGGUAAUGAGUGCACGCUGACAUAGGAGAGUGAGCGGACGUCAGACACACAGAGGGGUGGUGUUUGAAGGGCGUGCGUGUGCAGCUGCCUUAUUUAACCCGGAUUUUCUCUCAAGACGGUGACACGUGCCAGUGGAAGCUUAAUGGCUGCCGGAAGGUGGUCGUGAGGGCCAGAAACACUUACAAUAUUGACAAAUGACCCACCUGCUGCUUGGCCACCUGGCGGACUGGUCACAGACGCCAUGGUGCAAUAGGAGACUACCCCAUCCCCUGCCUCCUGCCCUGCUCCACCCAGAUGCCAUGACCCAGCAGCGACGCCAUUCCACCUGCUACAUGACACUGGCUGACGCACUCCUGACAUGGCAGCGACAGGAGGCGGAGGGCAGGAGCAAGAGUCGGAUGGUGAAGAAAGGCGUGAUGGCGGAGGUGGUGGCUGUGGAGGGUGUUCGUGCAGGGUACCUCGGCAGGGUCUAGGUUUGCAGUAAACCUCCCUGAAGGUUCCAGAGCUGGUCAGCAAGUGCCCAGUCCAGGCUGUCACAAGACUGUGAUGGUGGACCUUCCACUGAUACUCACUGAAAACAGCUGUGCACUGCCACUCACAGGAAAUGACUACCCCAUCCCCUGCCUCCUGCCCUGCCCCACCCAGACACCAUGGCCCGGCAGCGACACCAUUCCACCUGCUACAUGACACUGGCUGACGCACUCCUGACGUGGCAGUGACAGGAGGCGGAGGGCAGGAGCAAGAGUUGGAUGGUGAAAGAAGGCGGGAUGGCAGAGGUGGUGGCUGUGGAGGGUGUUCGUGCAGGGUACCUCGGCAGGGUCUAGGUUUGCAGUAAACCUCCCUGAAGGUUCCAGAGCUGGUCAGCAAGUGCCCAGUCCAGGCUGUCACAAGACUGUGAUGGUGGACCUUCCACUGAUACUCACUGAAAACAGCUGUGCACUGCCACUCACAGGAAAUGGGCCUGAUGUGAAGGUGUCUGCAGCCAGUGUUUGGUGUCCUCUGUGCCUGCCUGGUGGUGCCUCAUUGCAGGGCCUGAUGUGAAGGUGUCUGCAGCCAGUGUUUGGUGUCCUCUGUGCCUGGUGGUGCCUCAUUGCAGGGCUGAUGUGAAGGUGUCUGCAGCCAGUGGUGGGUGUCCUCUGUGCCUGGUGGUGCCUCAUUGCAGGGCUGAUGUGAAGGUGUCUGCAGCCAGUGGUGGGUGUCCUCUGUGCCUGGUGGUGCCUCAUUGCAGGGCUGAUGUGAAGGUGUCUGCAGCCAGUGGUGGGUGUCCUCUCUUCCUGGUGGUGCAGCCUGAUGUGCUGCCUGCUUCAGUGUAAAUCUUGCAAGCCAGAUCUGCCAGCUGUCUCCAGUGUAGUAGUCUAGGGUGCUUUGCUUUGUGUCUUUGGCAAUAAAUAAAUUUGUGAGUAUCAUUCUCAUGUGAAUUAUAUAGUUUGAUAAAAUUACAGAAUGUGCUUGAUAAAAUUACAGAAUGUGCUUGGGUAAACUAAAUUUAUAUAUUGGUGGUAAACAAUUCAUGCAUCCCCAAGUAAAUAAAUAAAAUAAAAUAAAUAGGACCCAAAACAAUAGAUACAAUAGAUCAUCCUCUGGUCAAAAAAAAAAAAGCCAGGAUUGGCCCAUUUUUGGCUAAGUUUAAGGUG